UUUUAGCCCCGAUAGCAGCGGCAUCCUUUUUUUGCUUCUUUAGAGCAAAAAAAGAUAUAGCGGAUAGCGGGAUUAGCU
rnacentral:sRNA from 1 species